AACGCGCUUAUAAUACCUACAAAUAUUCUAAAUAAACCCAAAAUUAGUCCCAAGGCCCGUUCAGUUAAUUUCGAAAAUCUAGCACGGCGGCUCUACCGUGCUCCAACAAUGCCACUGCCGCUGCCGCCCGCGGCGGCAGUCCACCUUGGGUCGGCUGUUUUUGGUCAUUUUUGGCCGAAUUUGAUCGAUUUUGCAUUGAUUCCUGUGAGCACACACGCUAAAGGGUCU
rnacentral:lncRNA from 1 species